AGCCAGCUCCUUAGGCUCGGAGCUAGCUCUUUAGGCUCGGAGCCAGCUUUUUAGGCUCGGAGCCAGCUCCUUAGGCUCGGAGCCAGAAGCUUCACAGAAGCUGGCUCCGAGCCUAAAGAGCUGGCUCCGAGCCUAAGGAGCUGGCUCC